rnacentral:rRNA from 1 species
GCUUGUCUCAAAGAUUAAGCCAUGCAUGUCUCAGCAUAAGCUUCAACACGGUGAAACUGCAAAUGGCUCAUUAAAGCAGUUACAAUUUAUUUGAUGGUCACUGUUACAUGGAUAACUGUGGUAAUUCUAGAGCUAAUACAUGCAUCAAAACCUGACUCUUGGGAAGGGUUGUGUUUAUUAGAUACUAAACCAGUGUCGCAAGACAUUGUGGUGAAUCACAGUAACUGAUCGAAUCGGCGCGCAAGCGGCGAUAAAUCAUUCAAGUUUCUGCCCUAUCAGCUUUCGAUGGUAGUGUAUUGGACUACCAUGGCAGUCACGGGUAACGGAGAAUUAGGGUUCGGUUCCGGAGAGGGAGCCUGAGAAACGGCUACCACAUCUAAGGAAGGCAGCAGG